rnacentral:rRNA from 1 species
UGAACGCUAGCUACAGGCUUAACACAUGCAAGUCGAGGGGCAGCAUGGUCUUAGCUUGCUAAGGUCGAUGGCGACCGGCGCACGGGUGAGUAACGCGUAUCCAACCUGCCUUACACUCUUGGACAGCCUUCUGAAAGGGAGAUUAAUACAAGAUGUUAUCAUGAGUAAGCAUUUUCGCAUGAUUAAAGGUUUACCGGUGUAAGAUGGGGAUGCGUUCCAUUAGAUAGUAGGCGGGGUAACGGCCCACCUAGUCUUCGAUGGAUAGGGGUUCUGAGAGGAAGGUCCCCCACAUUGGAACUGAGACACGGUCCAAACUCCUACGGGAGGCAGCAGUGAGGAAUAUUGGUCAAUGGACGAGAGUCUGAACCAGCCAAGUAGCGUGAAGGAUGAAGGUUCUAUGGAUUGUAAACUUCUUUUAUACGGGAAUAAACGAAUCCACGUGUGGAUUUUUGCAUGUACCGUAUGAAUAAGGAUCGGCUAACUCCGUGCCAGCAGCCGCGGUAAUACGGAGGAUCCGAGCGUUAUCCGGAUUUAUUGGGUUUAAAGGGAGCGUAGAUGGGUUGUUAAGUCAGUUGUGAAAGUUUGCGGCUCAACCGUAAAAUUGCAAUUGAUACUGGCAGUCUUGAGUACAGUUGAGGUAGGCGGAAUUCGUGGUGUAGCGGUGAAAUGCUUAGAUAUCACGAAGAACUCCGAUUGCGAAGGCAGCUUACUAACCUGUAACUGACAUUGAUGCUCGAAAGUGUGGGUAUCAAACAGGAUUAGAUACCCUGGUAGUCCACACGGUAAACGAUGAAUACUCGCUGUAGGCGAUAUACAGUCUGCGGCCAAGCGAAAGCAUUAAGUAUUCCACCUGGGGAGUACGCCGGCAACGGUGAAACUCAAAGGAAUUGACGGGGGCCCGCACAAGCGGAGGAACAUGUGGUUUAAUUCGAUGAUACGCGAGGAACCUUACCCGGGCUUAAAUUGCAACCGAAUAUGGCGGAAACGCUAUAGCUAGCAAUAGCGGUUGUGAAGGUGCUGCAUGGUUGUCGUCAGCUCGUGCCGUGAGGUGCCGGCUUAAGUGCCAUAACGAGCGCAACCCUUGCCGAUAGUUACUAACAGGUUAUGCUGAGGACUCUGUCGGGACUGCCAUCGUAAGAUGUGAGGAAGGUGGGGAUGACGUCAAAUCAGCACGGCCCUUACGUCCGGGGCUACACACGUGUUACAAUGGGGGGUACAGAGGGCUGCUACCACGCAAGUGGAUGCCAAUCCCAAAAACCUCUCUCAGUUCGGAUUGAAGUCUGCAACCCGACUUCAUGAAGCUGGAUUCGCUAGUAAUCGCGCAUCAGCCACGGCGCGGUGAAUACGUUCCCGGGCCUUGUACACACCGCCCGUCAAGCCAUGGGAGCCGGGGGUACCUGAAGUGCGUAACCGCAAGGAGCGCCCUAGGGUAAAACUGGUGACUGGG